rnacentral:rRNA from 1 species
CCUACGGGUGGCAGCAGUGGGGAAUAUUGGACAAUGGGGGGAACCCUGAUCCAGCCAUGCCGCGUGUGUGAAGAAGGCCCUCGGGUUGUAAAGCACUUUCAGUGAGGAAGAACGCCUGGUGGUUAAUACCCAUCAGGAAAGACAUCACUCACAGAAGAAGCACCGGCUAACUCCGUGCCAGCAGCCGCGGUAAUACGGAGGGUGCGAGCGUUAAUCGGAAUUACUGGGCGUAAAGCGCGCGUAGGUGGCUUGAUAAGCCGGUUGUGAAAGCCCCGGGCUCAACCUGGGAACGGCAUCCGGAACUGUCAAGCUAGAGUGCAGGAGAGGAAGGUAGAAUUCCCGGUGUAGCGGUGAAAUGCGUAGAGAUCGGGAGGAAUACCAGUGGCGAAGGCGGCCUUCUGGACUGACACUGACGCUGAGGUGCGAAAGCGUGGGUAGCAAACAGGAUUAGAUACCCCUGUAGUC